UACGUAGGGUGCAAGCGUUGUCCGGAAUUAUUGGGCGUAAAGAGCUCGUAGGCGGUUUGUCGCGUCUGCUGUGAAAACCCGAGGCUCAACCUCGGGCCUGCAGUGGGUACGGGCAGACUAGAGUGCGGUAGGGGAGAUUGGAAUUCCUGGUGUAGCGGUGGAAUGCGCAGAUAUCAGGAGGAACACCGGUGGCGAAGGCGGGUCUCUGGGCAGUAACUGACGUGAGGAGCGAAAGCGUGGGGAGCGAACAGG
rnacentral:rRNA from 1 species